rnacentral:lncRNA from 10 species
GAGGCAUCACAUUAACCGACAUGAAACUAUACCACAAGGCUAUAGUUACCAAACAGCAUGGUACUGGUAUAAAAGUAGGCAUCUAGACCAAUGAAACAAAAUAGAGAAACCAGAAAUAAAGCCAAAUACUUAUAGCGAAUGGAUCUUUGACAAAGCAAACAAAAACAUAAAGUGGAGAAAGGACACCCUAUUCAACAAAUGGUGCUGGCAUUAUUGGCAAGCCACGUGUAGAAGGAUGAGACUGAAUCCUCAUCUGUCACCUGAUGCAAAAAUCAACACAAGGUGGAUCAAAGACUGAAAUAUAAGACCUGAAACCAAAAAAAUUCUAGAAGAUAACGUUGGAAAAACUCUUCUAGACAUUGACUCAGGCAGAGUUAACGAACAAGAACCCAAAAGCAAAUACAGCAUAAACAAAGAUAAAUUGGUGGGACUUAAUCAACCUCAAAAGCUUCUGCACAGCAAAAGAAAAUCAGCAGAGUAAACAGACAACCCACAGCAUGGAAGAAAAUCUUCGCUAACUAUGCAUCCACAAAGGACUAGUAUCCAGAAUCUACAAGGAACUCUGACAAACCAGCAAGAAAAGAAAAAAAAAAUCCCAUGAAAAAGUAGUACUGCUCAGCCACAAGAAGGAAUGAAAUAACGGCAUUUGUAGCAACCUGGAUGGAGUUGGAGACCAUUCAUUAUUCUAAGUGAAGUAAUUCAGAAAUGAAAAACCAAACAUCAUAGGUUCUCACUUAAAAGUGUGAGCUAAGCUAUGAGUACACAAAGGUGUAAUAAUCUAAUGGACUUUGGGGACUUGGGGGGAGGGUGGGGAGGGGGCGAGAUAUGAAGGACUACACAUUGGGUAUAGAGUACACUGCUCGGGUGAUGGGUGCACCAAAAUCUCAGAAAUCACCACUAAAGAACUUAUUCAUGUAACCAGACACCACCUGUUCCCCAAAAACUGUUGAAAUUAUUUUUAAAAAGGAAGAAAGGUAAACAUUUUAGCUUAACUAAAAUGUAAAUUUGGUUUAGACAUUCAUUUAUUUUUAGUCUUUUGAUGAAGGACCACAGCCUUCCCCACCUCGCAAGUAGAUGUGCUAGUUGGACAGUUCCAUAAACUGUGGUGGAUAAAAAGAGGCAGGAUAAGACAGUGGGAAGCAAAGAGGCUUUGGACAAAGCUCCUGUGUUCUGAAUCUCAGCUCUGCCACUUGCUACCUGUGUGACUUUCAGGAAGUUGCAUAGCUGCUCUGUGCCUCAGUUUCCUUAUAUGUCAAAAGGGAUAUUACCUACCAUACACAGUAGUUAGGAGGAUGAAAAAUCCUUAGAACAGCACUGGCUCAUUGAAAGUGCCAGAUAGUUGUUUAUUAAAUAGAAAUAAACAGGCCAGGCACAGUGACUCAUGCCUGUAGUCCCAGCCAGCACAUUGGGAGGCCAAGGUGGGCUGAUUGCUUGAGGCCAGGAGUUCAAGACCAGCCUGGGCAACAUGGCGAAACCCCAUCUCUACCAAGAACACAAAAAUUAGCCAGGUGUGGUGCUGCAUGCCUGUAGUCCCAGCAACUUGGGAGGCUGAGGUGGAAGAAUCAUCUGAGCCUGGGAGGCAAAGGUUGCAGUAACCCAUGAUUACGACACUGCAGCACUCCAGCCUGGGCGACAAAGGGAGAACCGAAAAAAAAAGAAAGAAAGGAAGGAAAGGAAGAGAGAGAGAGAGAGAAAAGAAAGAAAGAAAGAAACAAAGAAAGAAAUAAAGAAAGAAAAAAGAAAGAAAGAAAGAAAGAGAAAGAAAGAAAGAAAGAAAGAAGGAAAGGAAGAAAGAAAAAGAAAGAAAGAAAGAAAGAAAGAAAGAAAGAAAGAAAGAAAGAAAAGAAAGACUUCCAUGAUGCAUCAGCUUUGAAUUCCGAUUGUUUCUUUAGAUGUCUUAGAAUUUAAAGAGCCAUUCUUUCCUCUUUUUUUUUUUUAAUAGUUGUCUUAUCCACUUAAUUUGAUAGCAAGUUUUGGGGUUUCUUUAAAAAACAAACAAACAAAAAAAAAAACAAAAAAAAACUUUGUCUUUCCUUGGCAUUAAAUUUCUCUCCAGAGAAACCCAAAACUGUUUUCCUGACAUUCGUAUUUUGCCACUUGGUGUAAUAUUUAUUAAAUUAAAUAAUAACAACAGGAAGUAAAACUUGUGUAGUAUAAACAUAAUAAAUGCUUGGUAGGCACCAAUUCAACAGGUGAGGCAAAUGCACAACCCCCCUGAGAACAGCCCGCUAGCUAGAUGAUUGCAGAGAGAGAAUGAUGGACAUUAGUCACUGUGUUCUACAGAGAGAAGGAGAGUUUUAGCGAAUCCAAAGAAGUGUUUUAAGAGUUAAUGGAUGUGAGGGUGAUCUGGCUGCGACACAUGUCACCCCAUUGAUCGCCAAGGUUGAUUUGGCUGAUCCGGUUGGCUGGGCAGGUGUCCCCUCCCUUCCUUACCGCUCCUCGUGCGUCCCUCCCGAAGCUGCAUGCUCAAAGAGGAUAACCAUCCCUCAUAGAGGAGGGCCGGCCUUCCAUCAAGGGUAUACGGGUAGCUACCCUCCCCUGCUAGAAACUUCAAACGAGCUCUCAAAGAGGUGGAAUUUUUUUUUUUAUUUUGCUCUUGUUGUUUUGUUAUUGUUUUUUCUUUUCCUUUUGAGAUGGAGUCUCACUCUGUUGCCCAGGCUGGAGUGCAGUGGCGUGAUCUCGGCUCACUGCAUCCUUGCAUCCUCCGUCUCCCAGCUUCAAACAAUUCUUCUGCCUCAGCCUCCUGAGUAGCUGGGAUUACGGGCAUACACCACCACACCCAGCUAAUUUUUCUGUAUGUAUAGUAGAGACAGGGUUUCACCACGUUGGCCAGGCCGGUCUCGAACUCCUGACCUCAAAUGAUCUGCCCGUCUCGGCCUCCCAAAUUGCUGGGAUUACAGGCGUAAACGCACUCAGCCUCAAAGAGGUUUUUAAAAGAGUUGCAAAUGUGCCAUGACACUUUCAUUCUAAGGACUCUUGGAGCCUUUGUGCCCAUUUCAAACUUUAACUUGAAAGACCUUUGCUUAGUAGUUUAUAAACCAGAUACCUAUAACAUCCACUGAGUCUCUUUAUUUUUCAGGAAUUGUCAUUAGUACUAAAUAGUUUAGGGGGGAAAAUUAAAGAACAGUUUGCAACAAAUCUUUAACACACAGAGAUUGCGUUUGAUAUUGUCAGAUGAAUUCAAGUGUUAAUAGAAAUUAAACCUAAGACCUCAAGUCCAAAAGCAGUACUAUCCGUUUUUCUGAUGUGCCAUACACAUUAUAUGACAUGGUUUGGCAAUUCAAAAGAAAAUGUGUUCACAGAAAAAUUAAUCUACAGGGAUACUUGUAGGCUG